rnacentral:rRNA from 1 species
GACAGAGGGGGCAAGCGUUGCUCGGAAUCACUGGGCGUAAAGGGCGCGUAGGCGGCGCGGUAAGUCACUUGUGAAAUCUCUGAGCUUAACUCAGAACGGCCAAGUGAUACUGCAGUGCUAGAGUGCAGAAGGGGCAAUCGGAAUUCUUGGUGUAGCGGUGAAAUGCGUAGAUAUCAAGAGGAACACCUGAGGUGAAGACGGGUUGCUAGGCUGACACUGACGCUGAGGCGCGAAAGCCAGGGGAGCAAACGGG